GUCUACACACUUCAGUUUCACUUCAGUAAAGUGACGUUGCAUGCUCCUCCCCACCCAGUGCUGCUCUGUGCUCUGGAACAGAAUUAACCUUUCACAUGUCUGAUCUCUCUUCAUGCAUGAAACAUUCUCGAUACAAAAGUGUGAAUCAGAAAUGCUAGACAAGGAAUUACUGCAGAUGUAUUGAAGGUAUUCUAAAAUCAACAACUACAAUAGAAUUCUACAAUAGACUAGUUGAGUCUUGUCGAAUCCCUGAGCGUCAUUUCCGGUCACAACUUGCAGACUUGUUUACGUGCGGCUGUGCGUUUUGUUGGCAACCUUACUUUGCUACCUGACAACUUUACUUUUGAAUUACCGUUUAUAUUUACAUUUUUUCCCUCACUCAACUGUUUUUACUCCGGACGUUUUAUCUGGACAUGGUUCGUCAGGACUUCCAACAGCCGAAGCUAAGUAGUAACAUUAACAUGAUGCAUUAUACCGCCUCCAACGUUCUAAUUUACUUCCGAUCGAGUUGAUGACUUCCGGAGCGAGUUCUGCUAUUGUUUUUAGCAUUAGCUUACUAGCUAUCGUCGAUGCAUCUCUGACUGAAAUAGUUAGCAAUGACUACGUUUAAAUUACAGCCCCGAGAAGGAGGUGCUAAUGAACAUUGUUCAGUGCCUCUGUGUUCAGUUUAUUCCAAAUGUAAUGGUAUUGUGAGCUUCCAUCGUUUCCCGGUCGAUGUAGAGCUCAGAAAAAGGUGUUUGGUGGCAGUACGUCGUGACAACUUUACUGUCACCAAACACACAAAGGUGUGUAGUACACAUUUCGUCGAAAGUGACUUUGUUGAGGGAAAAUUGGGGGGCGACAAUACCUAAAAAGAGGUCUUGUUCUUACUGUCUUCGCGUUGAACUGGCACAUUAAAAAGAGACCUGAUGUUUGGGAAAGAAGACUGAAACCUGCUCCGACGGAUUGGGAUGAAGAACCAGGUGCGCUGCCUAUGGACUGUGCCGUCUCUGAUCCGGUCCAGACCCAUGAUUACUGUGCAGUCCCUGAACCCGCAGCCCUGGACAUGGCCCUGGCCCUAAUGGCAAUCCAUGAGCACGUAAGAGAAAUUGAGGAGCUUCGAGCCAAGCUGGAGAAACUGACCACCCAACGCGGCUUUGGUCUACAACGAUUUGCUGGAUCUGACGAUGAUAUACGUUUUUACACAAGAUUUGCAAGCUAUACCCACCUGAUGGCCUUCUGGCACUUGAUUGAGCGGGCAGCAGAGACCAAGUUUAUAAGAGUCACAAGCACCAAUCCAUCUGAAACAAGUGUUACUCGAAGAAAACCGGUGAGCAGAAGUUCCAUGAUAUCAGUGAAACCAGGAAUACGGUAG
rnacentral:lncRNA from 1 species